rnacentral:tRNA from 1 species
AUCUCGGUAGCUCAACCGGCAGAGCAACGGCCUCCAAAGCCGAAGGUUGAGGGUUCGACUCCUUCCCGGGAUGCCA